GAUGAACGCUGGCGGCGUGCCUAAUACAUGCAAGUCGAGCGAACAGACGAGGAGCUUGCUCCUCUGACGUUAGCGGCGGACGGGUGAGUAACACGUGGAUAACCUACCUAUAAGACUGGGAUAACUUCGGGAAACCGGAGCUAAUACCGGAUAAUAUAUUGAACCGCAUGGUUCAAUAGUGAAAGACGGUUUUGCUGUCACUUAUAGAUGGAUCCGCGCCGCAUUAGCUAGUUGGUAAGGUAACGGCUUACCAAGGCAACGAUGCGUAGCCGACCUGAGAGGGUGAUCGGCCACACUGGAACUGAGACACGGUCCAGACUCCUACGGGAGGCAGCAGUAGGGAAUCUUCCGCAAUGGGCGAAAGCCUGACGGAGCAACGCCGCGGGAGUGAUGAAGGUCUUCGGAUCGUAAAACUCUGUUAUUAGGGAAGAACAAAUGUGUAAGUAACUAUGCACGUCUUGACGGUACCUAAUCAGAAAGCCACGGCUAACUACGG
rnacentral:rRNA from 1 species